AUUGAACGCUUUCUUCAGGCCUAACACAUGCAAGUCGAACGGUAACAGGAAGCAGCUUGCUGCUUCGCUGACGAGUGGCGGACGGGUGAGUAAUGUCUGGGAAACUGCCUGAUGGAGGGGGAUAACUACUGGAAACGGUAGCUAAUACCGCAUAACGUCGCAAGACCAAAGAGGGGGACCUUAGGGCCUCUUGCCAUCGGAUGUGCCCAGAUGGGAUUAGCUAGUAGGUGGGGUAACGGCUCACCUAGGCGACGAUCCCUAGCUGGUCUGAGAGGAUGACCAGCCACACUGGAACUGAGACACGGUCCAGACUCCUACGGGAGGCAGCAGUGGGGAAUAUUGCACAAAGGGCGCAAGCCUGAUGCAGCCAUGCCGCGUGUAUGAAGAAGGCCUUCGGGUUGUAAAGUACUUUCAGCGGGGAGGAAGGGAGUAAAGUUAAUACCUUUGCUCAUUGACGUUACCCGCAGAAGAAGCGCCGGCUAACUCCGUG
rnacentral:rRNA from 1 species